AGUCGCAUGCUGUAGACCCGAAGCGGGGUGAUCUACGCAUGGGCAGGUUGAAGCGCGGGUAAGACCGCGUGGAGGACCGAACCCACCAGGGUUGAAAACCUGGGGGAUGACCUGUGUGUAGGGGUGAAAGGCCAAUCAAACUCCGUGAUAGCUGGUUCUCCCCGAAAUGCAUUUAGGUGCAGCGUUGCGUGGUGCUUGCCGGAGGUAGGGCUCUGGUUGGCUGAUGGGCCCGACAAGGUUACUGACGUCAGCCAAACUUCGAAUGCCGGUAAGUUGAGCGUGGCAGUGAGACUGCGGGGGAUAAGCUCCGUGGUCGAGAGGGAAACAGCCCAGAUCACCGACUAAGGCCCCUAAGCGUGUGCUAAGUGGGAAAGGAUGUGGAGUCGCAGUGACAACCAGGAGGUUGGCUUAGAAGCAGCCACCCUUGAAAGAGUGCGUAAUAGCUCACUGGUCAAGUGAUUCUGCGCCGACAAUGUAGCGGGGCUCAAGUACACCGCCGAAGUCGUGGCACUGCCAGUUUGCUGGUGGUGGGUAGGGGAGCGUCGUGCGAGCCGGUGAAGCCGCCGAGUGAUCGUGUGGUGGAGGUCGUACGAGUGAGAAUGCAGGCAUGAGUAGCGAGUCAGAAGUGAGAAUCUUCUGCGCCGAAUGACCAAGGGUUCCUGGGGCAGGUUCGUCCGCCCAGGGUAAGUCGGGACCUAAGGCGAGGCCGACAGGCGUAGUCGAUGGACAACGGGUUGAUAUUCCCGUACCCGCUGUGAUGCGCCCAUAUCGAAUCCAGUGAUACUAAGGGUCCUUAAGCCGGUUGGCUCUUCGGAGCCGGCGUCAGGGUGAACGCCUGGCCUGAUCUGGUAGUAGGUAAGCGAUGGGGUGACGCAGGAAGGUAGCCCAGCCCGGGCGGUGGUUGUCCCGGGGUAAGCAUGUAGGGAGAGAGAUAGGCAAAUCCGUCUCUCAUGUAUCCUGAGGUGUGAUGCCGAGCCGAUUGUGGCGAAGUGGGUGAUCCUAUGCUGCCGAGAAAAGCCUCUAGUGAGUGUCGCGGCGGCCCGUACCCUAAACCGACUCAGGUGGUCAGGUAGAGAAUACCAAGGCGGUCGGGUGAACUGUGGUUAAGGAACUCGGCAAAUUGCCCCCGUAACUUCGGGAGAAGGGGGACCUUUACUGGUGAUGGAACUUGCUUCUUGAGCUGGUGGGGGUCGCAGUGGCCAGGGGGAAGCGACUGUUUACUAAAAACACAGGUCCGUGCGAAGUCGUAAGACGAUGUAUACGGACUGACGCCUGCCCGGUGCCGGAACGUUAAGGGGACCGCUUAGCCAGCCUUGUGUUGGCGAAGGUGAGAACUUAAGCGCCGGUAAACGGCGGUGGUAACUAUAACCAUCCUAAGGUAGCGAAAUUCCUUGUCGGGUAAGUUCCGACCUGCACGAAUGGCGUAACGACUUCCCCGCUGUCUCAACCACAGGCCCGGUGAAAUUGCAGUACGAGUAAAGAUGCUCGUUUCGCGCAGCAGGACGGAAAGACCCCGGGACCUUCACUACAGCUUGACAUUGGCGUUUGGAGCGUCUUGUGUAGGAUAGGUGGGAGACUGGGAAGCUCCGACGCUAGUCGGGGUGGAGUCAUUGGUGAAAUACCACUCUGGUCGUUUUGGACGUCUAACCCGCGCCCGUGAAUCCGGGUGGGGGACAGUGUCUGGUGGGUAGUUUAACUGGGGCGGUUGCCUCCUAAAAGGUAACGGAGGCGCCCAAAGGUUCCCUCAGCCUGGUUGGCAAUCAGGUGUCGAGUGUAAGUGCACAAGGGAGCUUGACUGUGAGACUGACGGGUCGAGCAGGAGCGAAAGCUGGGACUAGUGAUCCGGCAUCGGCGUGUGGAAGCGGUGUCGCUCAACGGCUAAAAGGUACCCCGGGGAUAACAGGCUGAUCUUCCCCAAGAGUCCAUAUCGACGGGAUGGUUUGGCACCUCGAUGUCGGCUCGUCGCAUCCUGGGGCUGGAGUAGGUCCCAAGGGUUGGGCUGUUCGCCCAUUAAAGCGGUACGCGAGCUGGGUUUAGAACGUCGCGAGACAGUUCGGUCCCUAUCCGCUGCGCGCGCAGGAGACUUGCGAGGGGCUGUCCCUAGUACGAGAGGACCGGGACGGACGAACCUCUGGUGUGCCAGUUGUUCCGCCAGGAGCACGGCUGGUUGGCUACGUUCGGUAGGGAUAACCGCUGAAAGCAUCUAAGCGGGAAGCUCGCCUCAAGAUGAGGUCUCCCACCACGAGAGUGGGUAAGGCUCCCUAUAGACGAUGGGGUUGAUAGGCCGGAAGUGGAAGCGUAGUAAUGCGUGGAGCUGACCGGUACUAAUAGGCCGAGGACUUGACCAUA
rnacentral:rRNA from 1 species